UAGAUAUUUACUCCGUCCAAUAAAAGAUGUCUCAACUUUAACAAAAUUUGAAUGCAUAUAUACACUAAGUCAUGUCUAGAUACAUUCAAAUUUUGACAAAUUUGAGACUUCCUUUGUUAGACGGAGAGAGUAUAUC
rfam:Brachypodium distachyon strain Bd21 chromosome 3, whole genome shotgun sequence.